GCCUCCGUGGCUUAGCGGUAUAGCGGCGCUCUCGUAAAGCGCAGGUCGUGGGUUCAAUUCCCACCGGAGGCU
rnacentral:tRNA from 1 species